rnacentral:rRNA from 1 species
UACGGGGGGAGCAAGCGUUGUUCGGAUUUACUGGGCGUAAAGGGCGCGUAGGCGGCCAGCACAAGUCAGUUGUGAAAUCUCCGGGCUUAACUCGGAAAGGUCAACUGAUACUGUGCGGCUAGAGUGCAGAAGGGGCAACUGGAAUUCUCGGUGUAGCGGUGAAAUGCGUAGAUAUCGAGAGGAACACCAGUGGCGAAGGCGAGUCUCUGGACACUUCCUGACGCUGAGGCACGAAAGCCAGGGGAGCAAACGGG